CACGCAGGAACCGAGUCCACC
rnacentral:miRNA from 1 species